UCCGAAAGGGGCUAUCGUUGUUCGGAAUUACUGGGCGUAAAGCGCACGUAGGCGGCCAUGUAAGUUGGGGGUGAAAUCCCGGGGCUCAACCCCGGAACUGCCUUCAAAACUACAUAGCUAGAGGAUGUGAGAGGAUAGUGGAAUUCCGAGUGUAGAGGUGAAAUUCAUAGAUAUUCGGAAGAACACCGGUGGCGAAGGCGACUGUCUGGCGCAUUUCUGACGCUGAGGUGCGAAAGCGUGGGGAGGAAACAGG
rnacentral:rRNA from 1 species